GUUUAAUUAGUCAUAGAGUGUGAUCAAUAUUUGUUACAAUUUUUUUUCUAAUAUCAUAAAUAUUAUUUGUGUGAAAAUGUAACAAUAACAACCAGUCAGAGUCUUUUACUUUAAGUCAGCCGGAGACUUUUAAUUUAUCAGGUUUAUUCCCACGACAUCACCAUAUCUGCGUACGUCGUGACGUCAGACGUCCAAAGCGUGGGGGCGCUCCUCCUUAAAGUCGCAAUUUGUCAUCAAAUAGCAAAGAUGUUCCGGCCCAAGCCCAAACUGAAGGACAGACAGCACCUGUACAGGCUGAUCAUCAGCCAGCUGCUGUAAUACGGAUACACCAGCAUCGCCAACAGCCUGAUCAAUGAGGUGAAGCCCCAGAGUGUGGUGUCUCCAUCAGAGCAGCUCAUGCAACUGGCCAGGAUAGAUAUCUUUGUGAACAAUUCGUCCAGGCAUUGGCUUAAACUCUGGAGUUUAAUACCCACACCUCAAAAUCCAUUCAACAUCCAAUGCAGAGCCAUCGAUUUUUUUUUUGAUAAUGCUUCAGUUGGAUCUACAUCACAAUUCAGAAGAAAAAAUUCUGUUUCAUUGCGACUUCCGGUAUGUUAUUUAUUCAAGUUGGACAACGAAACAGCCCAGCAGAACUCUUUGAUUAUUCAAAGCCUUCAGCAAAAAGAGCCUUCAAGCACAUACAGGAAGCUGAAAUGUUGCGCUCCAUCUUUUUUAAUCCGUCUGGGGAUUUCUUACUAGUUGGCACACAGCAUCCAACCUUGCGUCUUUAUGACGUCAACACUUUCCAGUGUUUUGUGUCCUGCAACCUUCUGGAUCAGCACACAGACACCAUCUGCGGAGUCUGUUACAAUCCCAGCGCUAACAGCUACGUCACCUGUAACACACAUCACAGCCAGUGUAGCCCAGUUUCGGAAAUGCAUGACUCCUACGAGUUGGUUAUGUUGAUAAUUAGUUCAAAAACACUGGUUAACGGUUUAAAUCAGUCUGAAACAUUGCCCUGUAUAAUUAACAUAAUUAACUGGGAAAGAAUACAUUUGUUUGUAAGUAGAAUAGACUGAAAUACACUGGAAUAAAUCAGAAUCUAACCAAAACUUAGAGCCAGAUAAUCUGAAUCAAAUUUAAUCAGUAAACUUGUGUAUGUUAUAAGCAUCUAGGAGUGGAAAUAAAAAUAAUUUUAUAAUAUGUGUUAAAAACAAAAUGUGGGUAAAAAGUGCUAGUAGUUAAUAACAUUAUUUUGGAACUUCCAUUGGUCAGUUUGGGGUAAACCUUGACAUAUAAGUUGGAAAUACCAGUUCUGUCUGUUUUUUACUGCGGCUCGCGCACUCUGCCGCUUGCUCACCCUCAUUGUGUUUCCUGUCAUGCAGGUGCAGGUCUCAGUAGGCGACAUACGCACCACACUCAGGGUGUUUUCUACCACACUGAGGAAUAUGUGCUGCUGCCAGAUGAGCGAACCAUCAGCUUGUGCUGCUGGGAUUCACGCACUGCUGAGAGGAAGAACCUGCUCUCAUUAGGCCACAAUAACAUUGUGCGCUGUAUCGUACACUCACCCACCAUCCCAGGCUUCAUGACCUGCAGCAAUGACUUCAGAGCACGCUUCUGGUAUCGCCGCACCACCACGGACUAAGACACAUCUGUGUGCUUUAAAAGCAAAAGUCUCUGAGCUUCUUUUAUCAGCAGGUCCCAAACAUUGCGUAUGACUUCAGAGGCUUGUUUGCCAAGCCUCCAUAUCACUGAAUGCACAAAACCAUUUUUAAAAGCACCAGAGAGCUUAUGACUGUGGUACCUUAGUAUUACUGCCGGGUGGUGCUGUUUUACUACUAUGAGUUCUGUUGUUUUCUUUACUACCAUUUCAUAACAUCAGAACUAUCAGCCGUAAAGUUGCAUUGAAGCUAAAGACAGAUUUUUUUUUUAUAUUUGUGUCCGACAACAAGUAGAUGAGUGUUAUUCUGUCAUGGCAAGUGCCUAGAAUGUCAUUUUUUCUGUUUUGGAUAUUAAAGGGAUAGUUCACCCAAAUAGCAAAAUUAAUUGUCAUUAAUAUCUCACCCUCAUGUCGUUCCAAACCAGUAAGACCUCCGUCUAU